CAAUAGCGUAUAUUAAAGUUGUUGCGGUUAAAAAGCUCGUAGUUGGAUUUCUGCCGAGGACGACCGGUCCGCCCUCUGGGUGUGUAUCUGGUUUGGCCUGGGCAUCUUCUUGGAGAACGUAGCUGCACUUGACUGUGUGGUGCGGUGUCCAGGACUUUUACUUUGAGGAAAUUAGAGUGUUUCAAGCAGGCACACGCCUUGAAUACAUUAGCAUGGAAUAACACGAUAGGACUCUGGCCUAUCUUGUUGGUCUGUAGGACCGGAGUAAUGAUUAAGAGGGACAGUCGGGGGCAUUCGUAUUUCAUUGUCAGAGGUGAAAUUCUUGGAUUUAUGAAAGACGAACUACUGCGAAAGCAUUUGCCAAGGAUGUUUUCAUUAA
rnacentral:rRNA from 1 species